UACAAGUAUCUAUCUAGAUCAAGCUUGAACCUUUCUUCUCAUUUUAGAUCUAUCUUCUCUAAGAUGAAUCUCAACCUUUUAGAUCUUUGAUCAACCGUUGAUAUUUAUCCACGAUCUCAAUACUUGAAUAGCAGCCUUUCUUCCUAUUCCUUGAUGUAGAAGAGAUCACCCAACACCUUGGGUGCAUGGGAAGAUGGGAUGCCUAACACCUUUGGCAUUGAAGAGAGAGGAGAAAGAGAGGAUGGCAUGAAGA
rnacentral:lncRNA from 1 species